AGAGUUUGAUCCUGGCUCAGGAUGAACGCUGGCGGCGUGCUUAACACAUGCAAGUCGAACGAAGAUGCCGGAGUGCUUGCACUUUGGCAGACUGAGUGGCGGACGGGUGAGUAACGCGUGGGUAACCUGCCUUGUACUGGGGGACAACAGUUGGAAACGACUGCUAAUACCGCAUAAGCGCACAGCUUCGCAUGAAGCAGUGUGAAAAACUCCGGUGGUACAAGAUGGACCCGCGUCUGAUUAGCUGGUUGGUGAGGUAACGGCCCACCAAGGCGACGAUCAGUAGCCGGCCUGAGAGGGUGAACGGCCACAUUGGGACUGAGACACGGCCCAAACUCCUACGGGAGGCAGCA
rnacentral:rRNA from 1 species